UCGGAGGGAGGAGGAGGCAGGACGUGUCUGCUAGGGGCUCCCGCUAUCAUAGCAGGGGCUACCCUCGGCCUCUCACUGUCACAUCGCCGGGAACCAAUCCAGGUGGCAAGUGAUGACUCUGGGGAUGAGCCAGAGAGGCAAGCCAGUGAGGUGACAGUGGUGCACACCGAGAAAGAAGCAAACAGUGUGGCAGUGGAUGGAGCCAUUCCUAAAGGUGACAGCAGAGGUGCUAAGAGAAAACCAUGGACCCCAGCGGAAGUCAGAGCCGUUGAAAGACACAUGAUGCGGUUCAUCCACUCCUGCAAGGUUCCGGGCAAGAAGGAUUGUGAUGCGUGCCUACGGGCUGAAACCCAAGCACUGAAGGCUCUGAACUGUCUUUCAAUUAAAUUCUACAUAAAGAACAGAAUAACUGCGAUAAAGAGAAAGAACAUGAACUAAAUAAAUAACUAAUAAAUAAGUAAACAAACACAUGCAUCCAUACACAAAUAAAUAAAUGAAUAAAUAAAUCAAUACAUAAUAAAAUGUGGGUGCCAUUGCACCCGUUGGCCACCUGGGGGGAGGGUGUCACACAUAAAUUGAUCCAUAUAUUAUGUCCCCAUGGUCCCCUCCCAGGCCACGCAUGCCCGCACCCUCUGUCCCCUUGCACAGGCUACAGGCUGGGCCCUUCCAGGGGUAAGGGAAAUGGUGUCCCCAUGAGGGAUGUUCCAUACAUGGGUCCCGAUGAGGUCACAAAAACAAGUAUGUGUGUGUGUGUGUGUGUUUACUAUCUCACAUAGCCAUGUCUGUGUCAUAUGCUGCAGAAGAUGUUUCCUCUCAGGAGGGAUCCAUUCCAUGUACACAGGAUUGUAAUGCUUUGUCUCAGAUCCCUAUUGUUGAAGCUAAUACUGAGGCUGAAACUCAGGUGUUGAAGAAGUCUAUGGCAGUUUGGUCGGGCUCUGUCCCUAUUCCUGCAAAAUCCCCUAGCAUGUUCCCACAGAAAUGUGCACUUGCCCAAAUUAUGCAAGAUGACACGGAUGCCGAUUCUGAUACUUCAGACGGUGAUGGGUACGUGCUGAGGGGGGCGGCAUCCCUUGCAAUGGGGGUGCAGCUCAUGAUUGAGGCCAUUAGAGAUGUGUUAAACAUUAAUGACACUACACCUGAACAGGUUGAGGAGGCUUACUUCACUGAUAAUAAGAAAGCACCGCUAACCUUUCCAGCGUCUAACGAAUUAAACGCUAUAUUUGAAAACUCCUGGGAAAACCCAGAGAAAAAAUUCCAGAUCCCAAAAAGAGUUCUGGUUGCUUUUCCCUUCCCUGAGGAAGAUAGGAAAAAAUGGGAAAACCCACCAAUUGUUAAUGCCUCUGUCUCCAGACUGUCUAAGAAAUUGGUUUUACCUGUCCCUGGUUCUACCGCGUUGAAAGAACCGGCUGAUCGUAAGAUUGACACUACGCUCAAAUCCAUAUACACUGCUUCAGGAGUGGCCUUAAGGCCCACUAUUGCCUGUGCAUGGAUUUCUAAAGCCAUAGUAAAGUGGUCAGGCACAUUACUAGAGGAUUUGGAUGCAAUGGAUAGAAGUGACAUUGAAUUGUUUUUUUACAUAACAUACAGGAUUCUGCGGGGUUCAUGGUGGAAUCCAUGAAAGACCUGGGUACGCUGACUGCACGGAUAUCCUCCAUGUCGGAAUCCGCUCGCAGGGGACUCUGGCUAUGCCAGUUGUCUGCAGACGCGGAAUCCAGGAGAAGUGUGGAGAACCUACCCUACACAGGUCAGGCUCUAUUUGGGGAAGCGUUGGAUGCGUGGAUUUCCAUGGCAACCGCGGGUAAGUCACCUUUCCUUCCCUCUGCUACUCCUUCUACGAAGAAACUGUUUUCUUCAGCUAUGCAGCAGUACUUAUGGACCGCUAAGACAAGAAAGCACAAGCCUUCUACCACUUUCUUUAGAGGUGGGCGGGUAAAAUCCAAAAAGCUUGCACCCGCAGGCUCCCAGGACAAGAGACCUGCUUCUGGUUCCUCAAAAUCCUCAGCAUGACGGUGGACCUCAAAGCCUGGAGGACGGGCUGGUGGGUGCGAGACUCAGACGUUUCAGUCACGUCUGGGUGUCAUCCAGCCUGGAUCCCUGGGUACAGGAUAUUGUGUCCCGGGGUACAGACUGGAGUAUCAAGAACUCCCGCCUCACCGAUUCUUCAAAUCAGGCUUGACAGCUUUGCUGACAGGCAGGGCUAUCCUACAGGAAGCCAUCCUAAAAUUGGAAAAAUCACAGGUCAUUGUCCCAGUUCUACCUCAUAGGCAAAACAAGGGUUAUUAUUCAAACCUUUUCGUGGUACCGAAACCGGAUGGUUCGGUCAGACCAAUUUUGAACUUGAAAUCCUUGAACCCUUAUCUGACGGUGUUCAAAUUCAAGAUGGAGUCUCUCAGAGCAGUGAUUUCAUGUCUGGAGGAGGGAGAGUUUCUGGUAUCCCUGGAUAUCAAGGAUGCGUACCUCCACAUUCCGAUUUGGUUGCCUCACAGGCUUAUCUCAGAUUUGCACUGUUGGACAGUCACUAUCAAUUCCAGGCACUACCAUUCGGCCUCUCCACAGCACCGAGGGUGUUCACCAAGGUGAUGGCAGAGAUGAUGGUUCUCUUCCGCAAACAGGGGGUGAACAAAAUCCCAUAUCUGGACUAUCUGCUGAUAAAGGCAUCGUCCAGGGAGAGGUUGUUGCAGUCCAUUGUUCUUAUGACUCAUCUGCUCAGGGAACACGGUUGGAUAUUGAAUUUUCCAAAAUCACAUUUGGAGCUGACCAGGAGGUUGUCUUUUUCUGGGAAUGAUCCUCGACACAGAAGUGCAGAGGGUGUUUCUUCCGGGGGAAAAAGCGUUGGUGAUACAAACAAUGGUCCGGGAUGUCCUGAAGCCAGCCCGGGUUUCGGUUCAUCAGUGCAUUCGCCUUCUGGGGAAGACGGUGGCCUCUUACGAGGCUCUACAGUAUGGAAGGUUUCAUGCUCUGCCCUUCCAACUGGAUCUCCUGGACAAGUGGUCGGGAUCUCAUCUACACAUGCACCAGAGAAUACGUCUGACGCCAAAAGCCAGGAUUUCACUCCUCUGGUGGCUACAACUAGUUCACCUUCUGGAGGGCCGCAAGUUCAGGAUUCAGGACUGGAUUCUUCUAACCACGGAUGCAAGUCUCUGGGGCUGGGGCGCAGUCACUCAGGGGGAAACCUUCCAAGGAAGGUGGUCAAACCUGGAAUCCAGCCUGCCAAUAAACAUUUGGGAACUAAGAGCCGUCUACAACGGUCUUUUCCAAGCGGCCCAUCUUCUGCAAGAUCGAGCCAUUCAAGUGCAGUCAGACAAUGUAACGACAGUGGCGUACAUAAAACGACAGGGCAGAAAUAACAAGAAUCAUCCUCUGGGCAGAAAAACACGCGUUGGCGCUGUCAGCAAUCUUCAUUCCGGGAGUAGACAACUGUGAAGCGGACUUCCUCAGCAGACACGAUCUCCAUCCAGGAGAGUGGGGACUCCUUCCGGAGGUGUUCACGGAGGUAACAGAUCUUUGGGGUGUACCUCAAAUAGACAUGAUGGCCUCUCGUCUCAACAAGAAGCUUCGGCGGUAUUGUUCCAGGUCAAGUGACCCGCAAGACGUGGCGGUGGACGCCCUAGUGACUCCGUGGGUGUUCCAGUCAGUGUACAUGUUUCCUCCACUUCCACUCAUUCCAAGAGUUCUAAAACUCAUAAGGAGAACGAGAGUUCAGGCGAUCCUCAUUGCUCCGGACUGGCCAAGAAGGGCUUGGUACGCGGAUCUUCUGGAUCUACUGCUAGAAGAGCCGAGGCCUAUUACUCUUCGGGAGGACCUGCUGCAGCAGGGGCCAUUCACUUAUCAAGACUUACCGCAGGCAUGGAGGUUGAACGCCAGAUAUUAGCUCGGAAGGGCAUUCCGAACAAGGGCCCUCAUUCCGAGUUGUUCGCUCGCAAGCUGCUUUUAGCAGCUUUACACACGCUAAG